UUUACAGAAUCAGUUCACAUGAUCUCAGAUGUCACCAGAAAUUGAAAGGAGGAACUGUACUGUAAGGUGGCUGGGGUAUUUCCACAGGACAGAGUCUCGCUUCGGCCCAUCGGGACCUACCACACUUGAACAUCCCAAAGCAGAGCAAGAGAAGAGUUGCCCUGUCAGCAUUUACAAUACAUCUAAAUACAUUCAGUAGAAACCAUAUGUCCAUGGUUUUAUCAACCCUAAAACUUCUUUCCCUUGUUUUCAUAUUUUUAUAAACUUUUAUAUCACUGAAUAUUCUUGGUGACUUUAUCUUCUGAACAAUUUGGAUACUCCUUGGAGAAAACAUGUUGCCUAAAAACUUCUUCAAAUAACCCUAGUUUUGUAUACUUAUGGAGAUCACCUGAUUAAAUAGAUUUAAAACACUAAAAGGUAAAUUUAAUGCACAUUUAGCCAUUUUUGUGGGAAAAAACUCAUUUGUAAUACUAGAUGUUGUUUUAAUAAAACAAUUAAAU
rnacentral:lncRNA from 1 species